CCGGCACGGGUGAGUAACACGUAUCCAACCUGCCGUCUACUCUUGGACAGCCUUCUGAGGAAGAUUAAUACAAGAUGGCAUCAUGAGUUCACAUGUUCACAUGAUUAAAGGUAUUCCGGUAGACGAUGGGGAUGCGUUCCAUUAGAUAGUAGGCGGGGUAACGGCCCACCUAGUCUUCGAUGGAUAGGGGUUCUGAGAGGAAGGUCCCCCACAUUGGAACUGAGACACGGUCCAA
rnacentral:rRNA from 1 species